rnacentral:pre_miRNA from 1 species
AAUGUACUCCCUCCGUCCGGAAAUACUUGUCAUCAAAAUAGAUAAAAGGAGAUGUAUCUAGAUGUAUUUUAGUUCUAGAUACAUCUCUUUUUAUCCAUUUUGAUGACAAGUAUUUUCGGACGGAGGGAGUAAUAU